AUUGAACGCUGGCGGCAGGCCUAACACAUGCAAGUCGAGCGGAGCGGCGGCCGGGGGAGUAAUGCCUAGGUAUCUGCAUGGGAGUGGGGGAGAACGUUCGGAAACGGGCGCUAAUACCGCAUCCUAUCAGAUGAGCCUAGGUCGGAUUAGCCAGUUGGUGGGGUAAAGGCCUACAAGGUCCACGGUCCGUAACUGGUCUGAGAGGAUGAUCAGUCAAACUGGAACGGAGACACGGUCCAGACUCCUACGGGAGGCAGCAUGGGUGAAUAUUGGACAAUGGGCGAAAGCCUGUUCCAGCCAUGCCGCGUGUGUGAAGAAGGUCUUCGGAUUGUAAAGCACUUUAAGUUGGGAGGCGUUACCAACAGAAUAAGCACCGGCUAACUUCGUGCCAGCAGCCGCGGUAAUUC
rnacentral:rRNA from 1 species